UACGUAGGGGGGCAAGCGUUGUCCGGAAUCAUUGGGCGUAAAGGGCGCGUAGGUGGCCUGCUAAGCGUGCGGUGAAAGUCGGGGGCUCAACCCCCGAUCGGCCGUGCGAACUGGGAGGCUUGAGCACUGUAGAGGCAGGCGGAAUUCCGGGUGUAGCGGUGGAAUGCGUAGAGAUCCGGAAGAACACCGGUGGCGAAGGCGGCCUGCUGGGCAGUUUUGCUGACACUGAGGCGCGACAGCGUGGGGAGCAAACAGG
rnacentral:rRNA from 1 species